ACAUGUUUUUCAUUUCAUGUUUCAGAAAGAAGAAAGUCAACAAGGAAGUGCACAGAAUGCAGUGCGAUUGUACCUUAGAUCCUGAUGAUCCAUGUUCUAGUGGUUGUGGCAAGGACUGUCUGAACAGAUUGUUGAUGAUAGAAUGGGCUGUAAAGUGAAAGUUGAAGUGUUUAAAACAGAGAAGAAAGGCUGGGAAUUGAGAACUCUUGAAGAUCUGGA